rnacentral:rRNA from 1 species
UACGUAGGGUGCAAGCGUUGUCCGGAAUUAUUGGGCGUAAAGAGCGUGUAGGCGGUUCGGUAAGUCUGUCGUGAAAUCCUGAGGCUCAACCUCGGGCGUGCGAUGGAUACUGCCGGGCUAGAGGAUGGUAGAGGCGAGUGGAAUUCCUGGUGUAGCGGUGGAAUGCGCAGAUAUCAGGAGGAACACCGGUGGCGAAGGCGGGUCUCUGGGCCGAUACUGACGCUGAGGAGCGAAAGCGUGGGGAGCGAACAGG